rnacentral:lncRNA from 1 species
GAACAGCUGAAGCACUUAUCCCACUCCUCCAGUUAUCUGACUCACCGAGAAUUGUUAAUGUUUCGUCUGGCUCGGGGAAGUUAAAGAAGAUACCAAGUGAUUGGGCUAAAGGAGUUUUUACUGAUGCCGAAAACCUAACAGAAGAGAGAGUAGAUAAGGUACUGACUGAGCUUCUAAAAGAUUUCAAGGAGGGUUCACUUGAAAGUAAGGGCUGGCCUUCUUCUAUGCCUGCCUAUAUAGUCUCAAAAGCAGCACUGAACGCAUAUACAAGGAUUCUAGGAAAGAAGUACCCCACUUUUCGUAUCAAUUCAGUCUGCCCUGGCUUUGUCAAAACAGAUAUAAACUUCAAUGCCGGCGUCUUGCCUGUCGAAGAGGGUGGUGCCAGGAUUGUAAAGUUAGCAUUGCUGCCCAAUGAUGGCCCUACUGGCUCCUUCUUUGUUCACGAUGAAGUGUCAGAUUUUUGAUUGAAGAUGAUCCAUUUAUGCAAAUUUAAUACGAGUCAUUUAUUGGGCAACAUUUGGUACUGUAAUGUAAUUUUAAGUAUUUUGGUAUGUAUAUUGAUUGAAGGAUCUAGUGCAUUGUUUACAUUUCUACUAUUCAUCUGGCUCUUGGACUCAUAUUAUCAUUUACAAUGUUAUUCAGUCAGAAAUUCUAUGUGAUCGAUGUCCGGUAUUAUCGAUAGUAUAUCAAUAACAUUUCGGUAUAUUUUGUUAGACUUAAGUUAGAGACAAUAAUAUUGACAGUCCAUCAUUUAAUUAAGGACGAAGUUUUGAGAAGAAUUGAUUAUUCAAUAUUAUCCAACUUAAAUUGUAAUAGCACAAUCGCAAACUUCUGCAGUCAAUUGUGUAAACGAAGGCAUAGGAUUGGAAACUGUCAGGCAGUUGGCCUCAAAAGGAUUCACUGUAGUCUUAACUGCCAGAGAUGAGAAGAGGGGUCUUGAAGUUGUUGGGAAACUCAAAGAGUCUGGCUCCUCAGGUCAAGUGAUUUUUCAUUAGCUUGAUGUGGCUAACCCAGUAACACAGGAGAAGGUUAAUGUUAAAUUGAGUGGCUGAUAUAUAUCAUGCUUAUUGUGUCCACUUCCAGUUGUGUACACGUACCAAGUACCCUAGAAAGAUCAGUGGCUGGAAUUAAGACCCACAUUCAGAGGACUCUCACCCUUAUUUAAGUGUGCUACCGGUGCGGCAGUUUUAUCGAAGAUUUUUUCCUAUCAAAAGGUGAAAGUUGUCACAAGUAAAUUAAUAUCCAUGUUUCUACUAGGAUAUAUUAGUCAAUUAGAAAUUUUCUGCGCAAGUUGAAAAGUCUUGCAUGCGAAACUGCUUGCCACUGCCACCACCAAAAUUCAACAACGUGAGCACUUGCGUCACCACUACCCCAUUAUUUUCCUUUAAAAUCUUCACAACAAAAUUCCAAACAAGUCUUGGUCCCUCUUUCACCACAAUAUCCAAUUACUGCUAGAAAACACUAGAAGCAUCCUCCCUCCAGUAUGUAAUAGGAACAACAGAACCAACAAUUUUCAUCUUCUUCUUAAUAUUUAUCUUAAUAUAAUCCCCAGAAUUCAAAGGCUUUUCAAGAACAUUUCACUAUAAAAGAGAAGAAGGCUGUUGCUGUUUAAUACACAUCUCAAUUUUCCCAGACCGUCCCGUUUCGAAUCUAUCAAUGGCAGAAGUAACAAAGAGGUAGCACUUUAAAGUACUGCUUUCAUAACAAUUUCUCACUAUUUUUGUGUUCUGAAUUUGGUGUUUUUUGUUUUCUCAGGUAUGCAAUUGUUACUGGAGCAAACAAAGGCGUAGGAUUGGAAACUGUCAGGCAGUUGGCCUCAAAUGGAUUUAUUGUAGUCUUGACUGCCAGAGAUGGCAAGAGGGGUCUUGAAGCUGUUGAGAAACUCAAAGAGUCUGGCCUCUCUGGUCAAGUGGUUUUUCAUCAACUUGAUGUAGCUAACCCUGCUAGUGUUGCUUCCUUGGCAGACUUCAUCAAAACCCAGUUUGGGAAACUGGAUAUCUUGGUAUGUAUAUGAUCAUAGCUGCAGGUUUCUUGAAAAAGUUUCUGUCUUUUGAAUCCAACUCUUAAUCCAAAUGCGAUUUUGUUGACGGAAUUGGAGAAUAAAAAUAGCAAACCAUCUACAUUUGUUUCUUGGAAUCCUUUCAUAUAUGAUGUGAUCCCUUUCUGUACAAUUUACAAGUACCCUAUAAAGAUCAGUGGCUGGAGUUAAGGGGUUUGGAAAAGUAGCAUGGUUGGUUUGGUUGUAAAACAAAGAGAUUAUCCAAGUAAUCAGAGGAUCUAUCAACUUUCUUUUCAUUUCAUUUUCUAUAGAAAAAAAUUAUGUUCUUUUCUUUGCUAAAAGAAAACAGAUAGUGAAACAGUUGGACUCUGCACAGGUGAACAAUGCAGGAAUUUUUGGAAGCAUAAUAGAUGUUGAUGCUUCUAAAGCUGCUGUAGCCUCUGGUGCCAUGGUAAGUCUUUUGCAUAAUUUUAUCAAUAGCUAUCAAAAACUAAAAGCUUCAAUCUAUAUGCCAAAGUGAGAAUUUAAAAUGAUUUGUGGUUUGGCAAACUUUAAUCAACAUUUUUCUUGUUUGGAGUGUUGUGCAAGUGGUGGGCAAUAGGCACCAUAAUAAUAAGUUUGCUUUUGCUGAUACAGGCAAGAGGAGAAGUUGAUUUGAGUAAACUAGUGACUGAAACUUAUGAGUUAACAGAAGAAUGCUUGCAAAUAAACUAUUAUGGUGCUAAAAGAACAGCUGAAGCACUUAUCCCACUCCUCCAGUUUUCUGACUCACCGAGAAUUGUUAAUGUUUCUGCUGGCUUGGGGAUGUUAAACAACAUACCAAGCGAUUGGGCUAGAGGAGUUUUUACUGAUGCCGAAAACCUAACAGAAGAGAGAGUAGAUGAGGUACUGACUGAGCUUCUAAAAGAUUUCAAGGAGGGUUCACUUGAAAGUAAGGGCUGGCCUUCUUCUAUGCCUGCCUAUAUAGUCUCAAAAGCAGCACUGAACGCAUAUACAAGGAUUCUAGCAAAGAAGUACCCCAAUUUUCGUAUCAAUUCAGUCUGCCCUGGCUAUGUCAAAACAGAUAUGAACUUCAAUGCCGGCCUCUUGCCUGUCGAAGAAGGUGGUGCCAGGGUUGUGAAGUUAGCAUUGCUGCCCAAUGAUGGCCCUACUGGCUCCUUCUUUGUUCAGAAUGAAGUGUCGGAUCUUUGAUUGAAGAUGAUCCAUUCAUGCAUAUUUAAUACAUGUCACCUAUUGGGCAACUUCUUGUACUGUAAUGUAAUUUUAAGUAUUUUGGACACCAGCAGAUUCUUUUUUGGUUCUUUCUACAUUCAAUACGAGGAUGGCAUGUAUAUGAUGCUUUUUAUCUAGGUAAAAUUUCACCAAAGCACAAUGUUUAAAUAACAAAAGAAACUGCACCCCAAAAAAGAAUAGAAAAGUUCAGGUGUUUCUGGCCUCACAGGAAGCUCUCAGCUGACUUGACCUUCCCCUUUGGUUUUUGGGGAAAGACUUAGCUGUCCUGGGGUGACUACUCCUUGUUCCUUCCUAUAGAAUCUUGUGAUGUAUGCAAGUUUCUUGCGUUUAGAGAGGAGAGACAACACUCCCAAAUAAAGGCCGAAAAAGUCACAUUUGUUAUAAAACUAAAGAAAUUGAAGAGAGAAUUUAGAGAAUUCAAAUAGCGACAGGAAUGCUCUUCCGUUAUUUUCAUUGAGAUUUUCUUCUAUAUCUACAAAUGAGAAUGAAGCUAUAGUUUUAUAGGCAAAGCCUUGGCUAACAAUUCGGUAAAUAGAAGACUCCAAGAAGGUGUAUGGAGAUUCCCUUCCAACAUGUGGGCUUCACUUUAUCAUCUUACAACAACAUUAGGGGGUCUCACCCUUUUUUGAGUGUGCUACCAGUCAUUAUGAGAUCCAUGUUUCAACAUGAUAUUAUUAUUUACCUUACCAGUCAAUCAGAAAAAGUAAGUAGGGUCUACACAAAAUUAGAAAUUGAAUUCUUGAUUUGAGGGGAAUUCAAUUUUUGAGUGGGAUGUGGUAUUUUAAUUUCAGGAGAACUAACUUAUUAGAAAUUCAUCUUUUUUACUCAUUAUAUCUUCAUACAAUUUUAAAAUUUCCAAAUUUGUUAUCUAUUUUAACUCGACAAUGAGGACAUUUUAGUAAUUAGUACAACUCCUACCUCAAUUUCAUAUGGUUUAGUAAACAACUUUAAUAGGAAUUUGGAAUCUAACUCUCCUCAAUCCAUAUAAUUUAGCAAACAACUUCAAUAAGAAUACGGAUUCUAAUUCUCCUUAAUCUAACUCAUCCUCAAUUCAAUUCCUCUUAAUCCGUACUCACCACCCCCAUUCUUUUCCUUCUAGAAAACGUUAGAAGCAUCCUCAAUCCAGUAUUUAUAUAGGAACAAACGAAUCAAAAAAUUUCUUCUUCUCAUUAUUAUUUAUUUGAAUAUAGACCUCAAAAUUCAAAGGCUUUCCAAGAACAUUACACUAUAAAACAAAAGAAGGCUCCUUCCUUAUUUUUAAUUAAUCUCAAUUCUCACAGACCGUCCCGUUUCGAAUAUAUCAAUGGCAGAAGCAACAAAGAGGUAGCACUUUAAAGUCCUUUAUGCUUUGAAGUACUGCUUCCAUAACAAUUUCUCACUAUUUUUUGUGUUAUGAAUUUGGUGUUUGUGUUUUCUCAGGUAUGCAGUUGUUACUGGAGCAAACAAAGGCAUAGGAUUGGAAACUGUGAGGCAAUUGGCCUCAAAUGGAUUCACUGUAGUCUUAACUGCCAGAGAUGAGAAAAGGGGUCUUGAAGCUGUUGAGAAACUCAAAGAAUCUGGCCUCUCACGUCAAGUGGUUUUUCAUCAACUUGAUGUGGCUAACCCUGCUACUGUUGCUUCCUUGGCAGAGUUCAUCAAAACCCAGUUUGGAAAACUCGAUAUCUUGGUAUGUGUAUGAUCAUAGCUGCAGGUUUCUUGAAAAAGUUUCUGUCUUUUGAAAUAAUUAUGUCUUAGGCGUACACAAUAUCCACACAGGUGAAGGUUAUAUUAGAGACUGUAAAAUUGAGUGGCUGAUCCAUAUAUUGCUUGCUUAUUGUGACCACUUCCAGUCGUGGAAGAUUUUACUAUCAAAUCUGACUCUAUGUCUGUCACAUUGUUUUUUCGGUUUUUUUUUGGUGUGGAAUUCUUUCCAUAUAUAUGCUAUAUGAUCCCUCUCUGAACAAUUUACAAGUACCCUAGAAAGAUCAGUGGCUGGAGUUAAGGGGUUUGGGAAAGGCAUAAUUGUUGGCCCUUGUGGUUGGUUUGGUUGUAACAACAAAAGAGAUUUAUCCAAGUAAUCAGAGGAUCUACCUUCUUCCAAUUAAUUUCAAUUUCUAGAAAAAAUUUCAGUUCUUUUCUUUGCUAAAAGAACCCAAAUAGUGAAACAGUUGGACUCUGCACAGGUGAACAAUGCAGGGAUUAGUGGACGCCAAGUAGACGGUGAUGCUCUUAAAGCUGUAGUAGACUCUGGUGCCAUGGUAAGUCUUUUGGAUAAUUUUUAUCAAUAGCUAUCAAAAACUAAAAGCUUCAAUGUAUGUGCUUAAUAUGAAUGUAAGUUCUCAUGAUGUCUUCCUCUGUCUUGAAAUAUUUUCAUUGUGAUGUGCAUGUCAAACUUUGAUCACCAUUUUUCUUGUUUGGGAUGGUUGUAAGUGGUUGGCAAUAGCCACCAUAAUAAGUUUGUUCUUACUGAUGCAGGAAAGAGGAGAAGUUGAUUGGAGUAAAUUAAAGAUAGAAACUUAUGAGUUGGCAGAAGAAUGCUUGCAAAUAAACUACUAUGGUGCUAAAAAAACGGCUGAAGCACUUAUCCCACUCCUCCAGUUAUCUGACUCACCGAGAAUUGUUAAUGUUUCCUCUUCCUUGGGGAAGUUAAAGAACAUACCUAGUGAUUGGGCUAAAGGAGUUUUUACUGAUGCUGAUAACCUAACAGAAGAGGGAGUAGUUGAGGUACUGACUGAGCUUCUAAAAGCCUUCAAGGAGGGUUCACUUGAAAGUAAGGGCUGGCCUUCUUCUUUGUCUGCCUAUAUAGUCUCAAAAGCUGCACUAAACGCUUAUACAAGGAUUCUAGCAAAGAAGUACCCCGAUAUUCGUAUCAAUUCGGUAUGCCCCGGCUUUGUCAAAACAGAUCUAAACUCCAAUGCCGGCGUCUUGCCUGUCGAAGAAGGUGGUGCCAGGGUUGUGAGUAUAGCAUUGCUGCCCAAUGAUGGCCCUUCUGGUUCCUUCUUUGUUCAGUAUGAAGUGUCAGAUCUUUGAUUGAAGAUGAUCCAUUUAUGCAAAUUUAAUACAUGUCACUUGUUGGGCAGCAUCUUGAACUUUGAUGUAAUUUAAGUAUAUUUGGAACCAGCAGCGGAUCCUUUUUAUGUUCUUUCUACAUUCAAUAAGAGGAUGGCAUAUAUGAUGCUUAUUGUUGUAGCCAUAUUUAAUUGUGCAACAUUCUCUAUCUAAUAGUCCUCUAUGAUUGCAUCUUUAUGAAAUUAUCUCCCACAUCUGGAAUUGAUUGAAGCAUCUGGUGCAUUGUUUGUUUACAUUUCUACUAUUCAUCUGCCUCUUGAACUCAUGUUAUCAUUUGCAUUGUUAUUCAGUCAGAAAUUCUAUGUGAUUCAUGUUCAUCCUUUGAUCGAUAUUAUUGAUGGUAUAUUGAUAACAUUUAGGUAUAUUUUGUGACAUAUGUCAGAGAAUAAUAUUGACACCUUCUGCAGUCAAUUGUUUAAAAAAACAAAAAGACAACAUAGGUCUCGUUAACAAUUAUGUAAUUUUGGAGCGGUUAAAUUCACCAAUCUUGCCGACGAAACUGCUUCAGCCUUGGCAUGUGGUUGAUGGUUGAGUUAAGCUCUCUCUGCUCUGCCACCACCACCAAAAUGCUUAAACAAUGGGAGCACUUGCGUCACCACCCCCAUUCUUUUCCUUAAUUCUUAAAAGAAAAAUCCAAACAAAUGUUGUUUUCCCAUCAGAUUACUUCUAGGAAACAUUCGACGCAAGCAUCCUCCCUCCAGUAUAGGAACAAACGAGUCUUAACAAUUUUCUUGCUCUUAUUAUUAUUUAUUUGAAUAUCAAACUUGAAAUGUGCAAAGGUUUUCCCACAGACAGACGAUCCCAUAAACGAAUCAGCAAUGGCAGAAGCAAGAAAGAGGUGGCACCUUAGAGUCCAUACCCUUUGAUUACUUCUAUAACAAUUUCUCACUCUUGUUUUUGUUUCCUUUUUGCUUUCCUAUUUUUGUUAUGAAAUUGGUGUUUCUUCUUUUGUUUUUCCAGGUAUGCAGUUGUUACUGGGGCAAACAAAGGCAUAGGAUUGGAAACUGUCAGGCAGUUGGCCUCAAAAGGAUUCACUGUAGUCUUAACUGCCAGAGAUGAGAAGAGGGGUCUUGAAGCUGUUGAGAAAUUCAAAGAAUCUGGCCUCUCAGGUCAAGUGGUUUUUCAUCAACUUGAUGUGGCUAACCCUGCUAGUCUUGCUCCUUUGGCAGACUUCAUCAAAACCCAGUUUGGGAAACUCGAUAUCUUGGUAUGUAUGAUCAUAGCUACAGGGUUAAUGUAAAAUUGAGUGAUCUAUAUCAUGCUUAUUGUGUCCACUUCCAGUUGUGGAAGAUUUUACUUUGAAGUCUAAAUCUAACUCUAACUAUAUGAAAGAUCAGUGACUGGAAUUAAGUGGUGUGACAAAGUAGCAUACUUAUUGGCCUUCUUUGAAGAGCACUGGUUGGUUAUAGCAGAUAGUUUAUCCAAGUAAUCAAAGCAUCUACCAACUUUCUUUUAAUUCCAUCUUGUAGAUGUUUUUUUCUUUGCUUUUGUUUGCAAAAGUAAAACAAGUAGUGAAACAGUUGGACUCUGCACAGGUGAACAAUGCAGGGAUUGGUGGAAGCACAGCGGAUCCUGAUGCCUUUAGAGCUGUAGUAGAGUCUGGUGCCUUUGUAAGUCUUUCAGAUAAUUCUUAUCAAUAGCUACCAAAAACUUAAAGCUUUAAUGUAUGUGUUUAAUGUGAAAAUUUAAAUUGAUCUGUGGUUUGGCUUAAUGCUAUGGCAAUUAGUAGGGGAAAUGAUCUGUGUAACAUCACCAGGCUGGUAUGAUUCGGGUGGGUGUGUAAGUAGUUGGCAAUAGCCACCGUAAUAAGUUUGUUCUUACUGAUGCAGGGAAGAGGAGAAGUUGAUUGGAGUAAACUAAGUACUGAAACUUAUGAGUUGGCAGAAGAAUGCUUGCAGAUAAACUAUUAUGGUGCUAAAAGAACAGCUGAAGCACUUAUCCCACUCCUCCAGUUAUCCGAUUCACCGAGAAUUGUUAAUGUUUCGUCUUUCAUGGGGAAGUUAAACAACAUACCGAGCGGUUGGGCUAAAGUAGUUUUUACUGAUGCAGAAAACCUAACAGAAGAGAGACUAGAUGAGGUACUGACUGAGCUUUUAAAAGCCUUCAAGGAGGGUUCACUUGAAAGUAAGGGCUUUCCUUCUUCUUUGUCAGCCUAUAUAGUCUCAAAAGCUGCACUGAACGCAUAUACUAGGAUUCUAGCAAAGAAGUACCCCACUUUUCGUAUCAAUUCGUUAUGCCCUGGCUUUGUCAAAACAGAUAUAAACUACAAUGUCGGUGUCCUACCUGUCGAAGAAGGGGCUGCAAGGGUUAUGAAGUUAGCAUUGCUGCCCAAUGAUGGCCCUUCUGGCUCCUUCUUUGUUGAGUACGAAGUGUCAGAUUUUUAAUUGAAGAUGAUCCGUUUAUGCAAAUUAAAUACAUGUCAUUUAUUUGGCAGGAUCUUGAAUUUUUAAUGUAACAAAGUGUAUUUGGACCCAGCACCAGAUCCCUUUUAAGUUCUUUCUACAUUCAAUAUGACUCGAGGACAACAUACAAUAGUCUUGUAUGAUUGCAUCUUUGUGAAAUUAUCUUCCACAUAUGGAAUUGAUUGAAGGAUCUAAUACAUUGCUUGUUUACAUUUCUACUUAUCAACUGGCUGUUGAACUCAUAUUAUCAUUUACAUUAUUAUUCAACCAGAAAUUCUAUAUGAUUGAUAUCCAUUUUUUGAUCGAUACUAUCAAUAACAUUUUGGUAUAUUUUGUUAUGGAUAUGCUGACAACAAUUAUAUUAACACUUAAUCCACAAUUCUUUCAUUAAUUAAGAAAUGACGUAGGUAUAAAGAAGAAUUGAUUAUCCAACAAUCCCUCAUUCCCUCGUUCCAUCAAUAUUAUUGUAUUCAAUUGUUUAAUAAAGAAAAAGACAAUUGUCAUGUUCAAUGCAAAACUGCUUAAGACUUCGCAUGUUACGACUUUUUUGCCUAUACACUCCAAUGGUAGUUGAGACAUUGGGGAAGCCCUUGUGAACAUGUUGUUGAAAGGUCUCUCUGGUCUGUCAACGUGUGCACUUGCGUCACUACCUUCUCCUUUUCCUUAACGAAAAUUCUACAGAGAAAAAUCCAAGCAAAUGCUGUUCUAUCUAUCUUUCCCAUUCAAAUGAUGUCAUAUCUCACUAUAUCUCACCAAACCCAGUUAUUAACUUAUUAUUACUUUCAUGACCCAAAAAAGAAAAAGUUACUUUUACGUUUUCCGUUUUUUGCUAUACCACUUUUUUGUCAGUAAGGACACAAUUGUACUUUUAUAAAUCCAAACUAACAAACGCCAUAAUGGGCUUACUCAUUGACUAAAAACUAACAAAAAUAUAAAAUCACUUGAGCAAGACCCAAAAGUAUAUAGGGUAUUUAGAAGAUCUUAAUUAGUGCAUUUCCACAUGUAAGCUUAUAAAUAGGACCGAAAUAUAGAAGAAUUCUACAAUAAAUUUUAGGAAAAAUUCAAUUUGUCUUUCAAAAUUAAAAUAAGGAGUUAAAUUCUUAUUACGGAUACUUCUAUGUUUUUUCCACAUUGAGAAACUAAAAAUACAAAUGACACCCACAAAAAAAGUAAAAAUUCAAUUCUUGAGUAGGGCAGCCGCAUGUGAAAUCACACUCGCAAAGAGUUAAGACCCACAUUCAGAGGGUCUCACCCUUAUUUGAGUGCCACCGGUGCCGCGGUCCUGUUUAAGAUUUUUUUCCUAUCAAAAGGUGAAGGUUGCCACAAGUAAAUUAAUGUAUGUAUUUUAUAUCUAGUGGGGAUGAAAAAGUAAGGUGAUCCAUGUUUCUAUAGGAUAUUAUUAUUUACAUUAUUAGUCAAUUAGAGUAGUCACAUCCACACCAGUCUUUGCAUGCGAAACUGCUUACUGCCCUGCAACUGCCUUCACCAAAAUUCUCCCACAAACCCAUUAUUUUCCUUUAAAAUCUUAAAAACAAAAUUUGGUCCCUCUGUCGCCACAAUUUCUAAUUAAUGUUAGAAAACACUAGAAGCAUAUAGGAACAAAAGAAUCAAAAUUUUCUUCUUCGUAUUAUUUAUUUGAAUAUGACCUCAAAAGUCAAAGGCUUUCCAAGAACAUUCACUAUAAAAGAAAAGAAGGCUCCUUCUGUUUAACACACAUCUCAAUUCUCACAGACCGUCCCGUUUCGAAUCUAUCAAUGGCAGAAGCAACAAAGAGGUAGCACUUUAGACUUCAUUAUGCUUUGUUUCCUUGUCCGAUUUCCAAUCCCUUUAAUUGUUUUUGUUUCUAUGAAUUUGGUGUUUGUGUUUUCUUAGGUAUGCGGUUGUUACUGGAGCAAACAAAGGUAUAGGAUUGGAAACUGUAAGGCAGUUGGCCUCAAAUGGGUUCACCGUAGUCUUAACUGCCCGAGAUGAGAAGAGGGGUCUUGAAGCUGUUGAGAAACUCAAAGAGUCUGGCCUCUCAGGUCAAGUGGUUUUUCAUCAACUUGAUGUGGUUGACCCUGCUACUGUUGCUUCUUUGGCAGACUUCAUCAAAACCCAGUUUGGGAAACUCGAUAUCUUGGUAUGUAUAUGAUCAUAGCUACAGGUUUCUUGAAAAAGUUUCUGUCUUUUGAAUCUAACUCUUAAUCCGAAUGCGAUUUAGUUGGAAGCACGGAUACGCUGGUUGAGGUGCGUAUCCCGUAUCCGAUACGCUAGGGGAUACGAUACGCUGUGAAUACGUGCGGAUACCCGAUGGAUACGUAUCCGAGUAAACGGAUACGGUCAAAGACAAAAAGAUACUCGUAUCUGACAUUACAGAUACGAGUAUCUGAUGUUUAGGAUACGCGUAUCAGGAAACGUCUCCACUUCUUCUUUCAGAUCUUCCUUCUUCUUCUUCAUCCAGCAGUGCCCCCACUCAUCAAUUCUUCUUCUUCGUCCUUAAGAAGCCCAGAUCUUCCUUUUUCUUCUUCAUCCAGCGGCGCCCCUACUCAUCAAUUUCUUCUUCUUCAUUCUUCAUUGUCGGCGGCGUCGGGUUCUCUUCUCCAUUUUCAUUUUGUUUUCUCACGCGUGCUUCUCUGUUCUUUUGACAAAAGGAUUUUGUUUUGUUUUUGUCUUUUUUUUUGGUCAAAGGAUUUUGUUUGUUUAAUAUUCACAGUUUCACCCACACCCCACGUGAUGGCUGGUCUUAUCGUUUUGACAAAAGGAUUUUGUUUUGUUUGUCUUAUUAAAAGUAAUAAUAUUAUAACCAAGACAAGUGGAAGUAUGUUAAAAGUAAUAAUAUCAAAAGUAGUUAUUUAAAAUAUGUUAUAAAUUAUAUAUAUUGUUAUUUUUAAAUUAUUAUAUAUUAUUUAAAUUACCGUAUUCACGACGUAUCGUAUCCUAAUUUUUAAAAAUUUAUCGUGUCUCCGUGUGGUGUCGUAUCGUAUUCUCGUAUCCGUAUCCGUGUCCGUGCUAUGAAAUAUGGAAUUGGAAAAUGAAAAUAGCAAACCAAGUAAUAACUAGCUUAGUAAUAUCUUCAACAAGUUAAUCUUUGAAAUAAUUAGAAGUCUUAGGCUUUUUGAAGAACAAAACAAGUUUCACAUAACUACCAGUCUACCACUCUGUUUUUGUUUCUUGGAAUCUUUUGAUAUAUGAUAUGAUCCCUUUCUGUACAAUUUAUAUGUACUCUAGAAAGAUCAGUGGCUGGAGUUACGGGGUUUGGCAAAGUGGCAUAAUUAUUGGGCUUCUUUAAAGGGCAUUGGACUUUAUGGUUAGUUUGGUUUUAACAACAAAGAGAUUGUAAGAGUAAUCAGAGGAUCUAUCAACUUUCUUUUCCUUUCAUUUUCUAUAAAGAUUUUCUGUUCUUUUCUUUGCUAAAAGAAAACAGAUAGUGAAACAGUUGGACUCUGCACAGGUGAACAAUGCAGGGGUUAUUGGAAGCAUAGUAGAUGGUGAUGCUUUUAAAGCUUCUGUAGCCUCCGGUGCCACGGUAAGUCUUUUGCAUAAUUUUUUUAUCAAUAGCUAUCAAAAACUAAAAGCUUCAAUGUAUGUGCCAAAGUGAGAAUUUAAACUGAUCUGUGGUUUGGCAUACUUUAAUCAACGUUUUUCUUGUUUGGGGUGGGUGUGUAAGUGGUGGGCAAUAGGCACCAUAAUAAUAAGUUUGUUUUUGCUGAUACAGGAAAGAGGAGGAGUUGAUUUUAGUAAACUAGUGACUGAAACUUACGAGUUAACAGAAGAAUGCUUGCAAAUAAACUAUUAUGGUGCUAAAAGAACAGCUGAAGCACUUAUCCCACUCCUCCUGUUAUCUGACUCACCGAGAAUUGUUAAUGUUUCUUCUGUCAUGGGGAUGUUAAACAACAUACCAAGCGAUUGGGCUAGAGGAGUUUUUACUGAUGCCGAAAACCUAACAGAAGAGAGAGUAGAUGAGGUACUGACUGAGCUUCUAAAAGAUUUCAAGGAGGGUUCACUUGAAAGUAAGGGCUGGCCUUCUUCUAUGCCUGCCUAUAUAGUCUCAAAAGCAGCACUGAACGCAUAUACAAGGAUUCUAGGAAAGAAGUACCCCACUUUUCGUAUCAAUUCAGUCUGCCCUGGCUUUGUCAAAACAGAUAUAAACUUCAAUGCCGGCGUCUUGCCUGUCGAAGAGGGUGGUGCCAGGAUUGUAAAGUUAGCAUUGCUGCCCAAUGAUGGCCCUACUGGCUCCUUCUUUGUUCACAAUGAAGUGUCAGAUUUUUGAUUGAAGAUGAUCCAUUUAUGCAAAUUUAAUACGAGUCAUUUAUUGGGCAACAUUUGGUACUGUAAUGUAAUUUUAAGUAUUUUGGUAUGUAUAUUGAUUGAAGGAUCUAGUGCAUUGUUUACAUUUCUACUAUUCAUCUGGCUCUUGCACUCAUAUUAUCAUUUACAAUGUUAUUCAGUCAGAAAUUCUAUGUGAUCGAUGUCCGGUAUUAUCGAUAGUAUAUCAAUAACAUUUCGGUAUAUUUUGUUAGACUUAAGUUAGAGACAAUAAUAUUGACAGUCCAUCAUUUAAUUAAGGACGAAGUUUUGAGAAGAAUUGAUUAUUCAAUAUUAUCCAACUUAAAUUGUAAUAGCACAAUCGCAAACUUCUGCAGUCAAUUGUGUAAACGAAGGCAUAGGAUUGGAAACUGUCAGGCAGUUGGCCUCAAAAGGAUUCACUGUAGUCUUAACUGCCAGAGAUGAGAAGAGGGGUCUUGAAGUUGUUGGGAAACUCAAAGAGUCUGGCUCCUCAGGUCAAGUGAUUUUUCAUUAGCUUGAUGUGGCUAACCCAGUAACACAGGAGAAGGUUAAUGUUAAAUUGAGUGGCUGAUAUAUAUCAUGCUUAUUGUGUCCACUUCCAGUUGUGUACACGUACCAAGUACCCUAGAAAGAUCAGUGGCUGGAAUUAAGACCCACAUUCAGAGGACUCUCACCCUUAUUUAAGUGUGCUACCGGUGCGGCAGUUUUAUCGAAGAUUUUUUCCUAUCAAAAGGUGAAAGUUGUCACAAGUAAAUUAAUAUCCAUGUUUCUACUAGGAUAUAUUAGUCAAUUAGAAAUUUUCUGCGCAAGUUGAAAAGUCUUGCAUGCGAAACUGCUUGCCACUGCCACCACCAAAAUUCAACAACGUGAGCACUUGCGUCACCACUACCCCAUUAUUUUCCUUUAAAAUCUUCACAACAAAAUUCCAAACAAGUCUUGGUCCCUCUUUCACCACAAUAUCCAAUUACUGCUAGAAAACACUAGAAGCAUCCUCCCUCCAGUAUGUAAUAGGAACAACAGAACCAACAAUUUUCAUCUUCUUCUUAAUAUUUAUCUUAAUAUAAUCCCCAGAAUUCAAAGGCUUUUCAAGAACAUUUCACUAUAAAAGAGAAGAAGGCUGUUGCUGUUUAAUACACAUCUCAAUUUUCACAGACCGUCCCGUUUCGAAUCUAUCAAUGGCAGAAGUAACAAAGAGGUAGCACUUUAAAGUACUGCUUCCAUAACAAUUUCUCACUAUUUUUUGUGUUAUGAAUUUGGUGUUUGUGUUUUCUCAGGUAUGCAGUUGUUACUGGAGCAAACAAAGGCAUAGGAUUGGAAACUGUGAGGCAAUUGGCCUCAAAUGGAUUCACUGUAGUCUUAACUGCCAGAGAUGAGAAAAGGGGUCUUGAAGCUGUUGAGAAACUCAAAGAAUCUGGCCUCUCUGGUCAAGUGGUUUUUCAUCAACUUGAUGUGGCUAACCCUGCUACUGUUGCUUCCUUGGCAGAGUUCAUCAAAACCCAGUUUGGAAAACUCGAUAUCUUGGUAUGUGUAUGAUCAUAGCUGCAGGUUUCUUGAAAAAGUUUCUGUCUUUUGAAAUAAUUAUAAGUCUUAGGCUUACACAAUAUCCACACAGGUGAAGGUUAUAUUAGAGACUGUAAAAUUGAGUGGCUGAUCCAUAUAUUGCUUGCUUAUUGUGACCACUUCCAGUUGUGGAAGAUGUUACUGUCAAAUCUAACUCUAUGUCUGUCACAUUGUUUUUUCGUUUUUUUUUUUUUUUUUUUGGGUGGAAUUCUUUCCAUAUAUAUGCUAUAUGAUCCCUCUCUGUACAAUUUAGAAGUAACCUAGAAAUAUCAGAGGCUGGAGUUAAGGGGUUUGGGAAAGGCACAAUUAUUAGCCUUUAUGGUUGGUUUGGUUGUAACAACGAAAGAGAUUUAUCCAAGUAAUCAGAGGAUCUACCUUCUUCCAAUUAAUUUCAUUUUCUAGAAAAAAUUUCAGUUCUUUUCUUUGCUAAAAGAACCCAAAUAGUGAAACAGUUGGACUCUGCACAGGUGAACAAUGCAGGGAUUAGUGGACGCCAAGUAGACGGUGAUGCUCUUAAAGCUGUAGUAGACUCUGGUGCCAUGGUAAGUCUUUUGGAUAAUUUUUAUCAAUAGCUAUCAAAAACUAAAAGCUUCAAUAUAUGUGCUUAAUAUGAAUGUAAGUUCUCAUGAUGUCUUCCUCUGUCUUGAAAUAUUUUCAUUGUGAUGUGCAUGUCAAACUUUGAUCACCAUUUUUCUUGUUUGGGAUGGUUGUAAGUGGUUGGCAAUAGCCACCAUAAUAAGUUUGUUCUUACUGAUGCAGGAAAGAGGAGAAGUUGAUUGGAAUAAAUUAAAGAUAGAAACUUAUGAGUUGGCAGAAGAAUGCUUGCAAAUAAACUACUAUGGUGCUAAAAAAACGGCUGAAGCACUUAUCCCACUCCUCCAGUUAUCUGACUCACCGAGAAUUGUUAAUGUUUCCUCUUCCUUGGGGAAGUUAAAGAACAUACCUAGUGAUUGGGCUAAAGGAGUUUUUACUGAUGCUGAUAACCUAACAGAAGAGGGAGUAGUUGAGGUACUGACUGAGCUUCUAAAAGCCUUCAAGGAGGGUUCACUUGAAAGUAAGGGCUGGCCUUCUUCUUUGUCUGCCUAUAUAGUCUCAAAAGCUGCACUAAACGCUUAUACAAGGAUUCUAGCAAAGAAGUACCCCGAUAUUCGUAUCAAUUCGGUAUGCCCCGGCUUUGUCAAAACAGAUCUAAACUCCAAUGCCGGCGUCUUGCCUGUCGAAGAAGGUGGUGCCAGGGUUGUGAGUAUAGCAUUGCUGCCCAAUGAUGGCCCUUCUGGUUCCUUCUUUGUUCAGUAUGAAGUGUCAGAUCUUUGAUUGAAGAUGAUCCAUUUAUGCAAAUUUAAUACAUGUCACUUGUUGGGCAGCAUCUUGAACUUUGAUGUAAUUUAAGUAUAUUUGGAACCAGCAGCGGAUCCUUUUUAUGUUCUUUCUACAUUCAAUAAGAGGAUGGCAUAUAUGAUGCUUAUUGUUGUAGCCAUAUUUAAUUGUGCAACAUUCUCUAUCUAAUAGUCCUCUAUGAUUGCAUCUUUAUGAAAUUAUCUCCCACAUCUGGAAUUGAUUGAAGCAUCUGGUGCAUUGUUUGUUUACAUUUCUACUAUUCAUCUGCCUCUUGAACUCAUGUUAUCAUUUGCAUUGUUAUUCAGUCAGAAAUUCUAUGUGAUUCAUGUUCAUCCUUUGAUCGAUAUUAUUGAUGGUAUAUUGAUAACAUUUAGGUAUAUUUUGUGACAUAUGUCAGAGAAUAAUAUUGACACCUUCUGCAGUCAAUUGUUUAAAAAAACAAAAAGACAACAUAGGUCUCGUUAACAAUUAUGUAAUUUUGGAGCGGUUAAAUUCACCAAUCUUGCCGACGAAACUGCUUCAGCCUUGGCAUGUGGUUGAUGGUUGAGUUAAGCUCUCUCUGCUCUGCCACCACCACCAAAAUGCUUAAACAAUGGGAGCACUUGCGUCACCACCCCCAUUCUUUUCCUUAAUUCUUAAAAGAAAAAUCCAAACAAAUGUUGUUUUCCCAUCAGAUUACUUCUAGGAAACAUUCGACGCAAGCAUCCUCCCUCCAGUAUAGGAACAAACGAGUCUUAACAAUUUUCUUGCUCUUAUUAUUAUUUAUUUGAAUAUCAAACUUGAAAUGUGCAAAGGUUUUCCCACAGACAGACGAUCCCAUAAACGAAUCAGCAAUGGCAGAAGCAAGAAAGAGGUGGCACCUUAGAGUCCAUACCCUUUGAUUACUUCUAUAACAAUUUCUCACUCUUGUUUUUGUUUCCUUUUUGCUUUCCUAUUUUUGUUAUGAAAUUGGUGUUUCUUCUUUUGUUUUUCCAGGUAUGCAGUUGUUACUGGGGCAAACAAAGGCAUAGGAUUGGAAACUGUCAGGCAGUUGGCCUCAAAAGGAUUCACUGUAGUCUUAACUGCCAGAGAUGAGAAGAGGGGUCUUGAAGCUGUUGAGAAAUUCAAAGAAUCUGGCCUCUCAGGUCAAGUGGUUUUUCAUCAACUUGAUGUGGCUAACCCUGCUAGUCUUGCUCCUUUGGCAGACUUCAUCAAAACCCAGUUUGGGAAACUCGAUAUCUUGGUAUGUAUGAUCAUAGCUACAGGGUUAAUGUAAAAUUGAGUGAUCUAUAUCAUGCUUAUUGUGUCCACUUCCAGUUGUGGAAGAUUUUACUUUGAAGUCUAAAUCUAACUCUAACUAUAUGAAAGAUCAGUGACUGGAAUUAAGUGGUGUGACAAAGUAGCAUACUUAUUGGCCUUCUUUGAAGAGCACUGGUUGGUUAUAGCAGAUAGUUUAUCCAAGUAAUCAAAGCAUCUACCAACUUUCUUUUAAUUCCAUCUUGUAGAUGUUUUUUUCUUUGCUUUUGUUUGCAAAAGUAAAACAAGUAGUGAAACAGUUGGACUCUGCACAGGUGAACAAUGCAGGGAUUGGUGGAAGCACAGCGGAUCCUGAUGCCUUUAGAGCUGUAGUAGAGUCUGGUGCCUUUGUAAGUCUUUCAGAUAAUUCUUAUCAAUAGCUACCAAAAACUUAAAGCUUUAAUGUAUGUGUUUAAUGUGAAAAUUUAAAUUGAUCUGUGGUUUGGCUUAAUGCUAUGGCAAUUAGUAGGGGAAAUGAUCUGUGUAACAUCACCAGGCUGGUAUGAUUCGGGUGGGUGUGUAAGUAGUUGGCAAUAGCCACCGUAAUAAGUUUGUUCUUACUGAUGCAGGGAAGAGGAGAAGUUGAUUGGAGUAAACUAAGUACUGAAACUUAUGAGUUGGCAGAAGAAUGCUUGCAGAUAAACUAUUAUGGUGCUAAAAGAACAGCUGAAGCACUUAUCCCACUCCUCCAGUUAUCCGAUUCACCGAGAAUUGUUAAUGUUUCGUCUUUCAUGGGGAAGUUAAACAACAUACCGAGCGGUUGGGCUAAAGUAGUUUUUACUGAUGCAGAAAACCUAACAGAAGAGAGACUAGAUGAGGUACUGACUGAGCUUUUAAAAGCCUUCAAGGAGGGUUCACUUGAAAGUAAGGGCUUUCCUUCUUCUUUGUCAGCCUAUAUAGUCUCAAAAGCUGCACUGAACGCAUAUACUAGGAUUCUAGCAAAGAAGUACCCCACUUUUCGUAUCAAUUCGUUAUGCCCUGGCUUUGUCAAAACAGAUAUAAACUACAAUGUCGGUGUCCUACCUGUCGAAGAAGGGGCUGCAAGGGUUAUGAAGUUAGCAUUGCUGCCCAAUGAUGGCCCUUCUGGCUCCUUCUUUGUUGAGUACGAAGUGUCAGAUUUUUAAUUGAAGAUGAUCCGUUUAUGCAAAUUAAAUACAUGUCAUUUAUUUGGCAGAAUCUUGAAUUUCUAAUGUAACAAAGUGUAUUUGGACCCAGCACCAGAUCCCUUUUAAGUUCUUUCUACAUUCAAUAUGACUCGAGGACAACAUACAAUAGUCUUGUAUGAUUGCAUCUUUGUGAAAUUAUCUUCCACAUAUGGAAUUGAUUGAAGGAUCUAAUACAUUGCUUGUUUACAUUUCUACUUAUCAACUGGCUGUUGAACUCAUAUUAUCAUUUACAUUAUUAUUCAACCAGAAAUUCUAUAUGAUUGAUAUCCAUUCUUUGAUCGAUACUAUCAAUAACAUUUUGGUAUAUUUUGUUAUGGAUAUGCUGACAACAAUUAUAUUAACACUUAAUCCACAAUUCUUUCAUUAAUUAAGAAAUGACGUAGGUAUAAAGAAGAAUUGAUUAUCCAACAAUCCCUCAUUCCCUCGUUCCAUCAAUAUUAUUGUAUUCAAUUGUUUAAUAAAGAAAAAGACAAUUGUCAUGUUCAAUGCAAAACUGCUUAAGACUUCGCAUGUUACGACUUUUUUGCCUAUACACACCAAUGGUAGUUGAGACAUUGGGGAAGCCCUUGUGAACAUGUUGUUGAAAGGUCUCUCUGGUCUGUCAACGUGUGCACUUGCGUCACUACCUUCUCCUUUUCCUUAACGAAAAUUCUACAGAGAAAAAUCCAAGCAAAUGCUGUUCUAUCUAUCUUUCCCAUUCAAAUGAUGUCAUAUCUCACUAUAUCUCACCAAACCCAGUUAUUAACUUAUUAUUACUUUCAUGACCCAAAAAAGAAAAAGUUACUUUUACGUUUUCCGUUUUUUGCUAUACCACUUUUUUGUCAGUAAGGACACAAUUGUACUUUUAUAAAUCCAAACUAACAAACGCCAUAAUGGGCUUACUCAUUGACUAAAAACUAACAAAAAUAUAAAAUCACUUGAGCAAGACCCAAAAGUAUAUAGGGUAUUUAGAAGAUCUUAAUUAGUGCAUUUCCACAUGUAAGCUUAUAAAUAGGACCGAAAUAUAGAAGAAUUCUACAAUAAAUUUUAGGAAAAAUUCAAUUUGUCUUUCAAAAUUAAAAUAAGGAGUUAAAUUCUUAUUACGGAUACUUCUAUGUUUUUUCCACAUUGAGAAACUAAAAAUACAAAUGACACCCACAAAAAAAGUAAAAAUUCAAUUCUUGAGUAGGGCAGCCGCAUGUGAAAUCACACUCGCAAAGAGUUAAGACCCACAUUCAGAGGGUCUCACCCUUAUUUGAGUGCCACCGGUGCCGCGGUCCUGUUUAAGAUUUUUUUCCUAUCAAAAGGUGAAGGUUGCCACAAGUAAAUUAAUGUAUGUAUUUUAUAUCUAGUGGGGAUGAAAAAGUAAGGUGAUCCAUGUUUCUAUAGGAUAUUAUUAUUUACAUUAUUAGUCAAUUAGAGUAGUCACAUCCACACCAGUCUUUGCAUGCGAAACUGCUUACUGCCCUGCAACUGCCUUCACCAAAAUUCUCCCACAAACCCAUUAUUUUCCUUUAAAAUCUUAAAAACAAAAUUUGGUCCCUCUGUCGCCACAAUUUCUAAUUAAUGUUAGAAAACACUAGAAGCAUAUAGGAACAAAAGAAUCAAAAUUUUCUUCUUCGUAUUAUUUAUUUGAAUAUGACCUCAAAAGUCAAAGGCUUUCCAAGAACAUUCACUAUAAAAGAAAAGAAGGCUCCUUCUGUUUAACACACAUCUCAAUUCUCACAGACCGUCCCGUUUCGAAUCUAUCAAUGGCAGAAGCAACAAAGAGGUAGCACUUUAGACUUCAUUAUGCUUUGUUUCCUUGUCCGAUUUCCAAUCCCUUUAAUUGUUUUUGUUUCUAUGAAUUUGGUGUUUGUGUUUUCUUAGGUAUGCGGUUGUUACUGGAGCAAACAAAGGUAUAGGAUUGGAAACUGUAAGGCAGUUGGCCUCAAAUGGGUUCACCGUAGUCUUAACUGCCCGAGAUGAGAAGAGGGGUCUUGAAGCUGUUGAGAAACUCAAAGAGUCUGGCCUCUCAGGUCAAGUGGUUUUUCAUCAACUUGAUGUGGUUGACCCUGCUACUGUUGCUUCUUUGGCAGACUUCAUCAAAACCCAGUUUGGGAAACUCGAUAUCUUGGUAUGUAUAUGAUCAUAGCUACAGGUUUCUUGAAAAAGUUUCUGUCUUUUGAAUCUAACUCUUAAUCCGAAUGUGAUUUAGUUGGAGGAGAUGAAAUAUGGAAUUGGAAAAUGAAAAUAGCAAACCAAGUAAUAACUAGCUUAGUAAUAUCUUCAACAAGUUAAUCUUUGAAAUAAUUAGAAGUCUUAGGCUUUUUGAAGAACAAAACAAGUUUCACAUAACUACCAGUCUGCCACUCUGUUUUUGUUUCUUGGAAUCUUUUCAUAUAUGAUAUGAUCCCUUUCUGUACAAUUUAUAAGUACCCUAGAAAGAUCAGUGGCUGGAGUUACGGGGUUUGGCAAAGUGGCAUAAUUAUUGGGCUUCUUUAAAGGGCAUUGGCCUUUAUGGUUAGUUUGGUUUUAACAACAAAGAGAUUGUAAGAGUAAUCAGUGGAUCUAUCAACUUUCUUUUCCUUUCAUUUUCGAUUUUCUGUUCUUUUCUUUGCUAAAAGAAAACAGAUAGUGAAACAGUUGGACUCUGCACAGGUGAACAAUGCAGGGGUUGGUGGAAGCAUAGUAGAUGGUGAUGCUUUUAAAGCUUCUGUAGCCUCCGGUGCCACGGUAAGUCUUUUGUAUAAUUUUUUAUCAAUAGCUAUCAAAAACUAAAAGCUUCAAUGUAUGUGCCAAAGUGAGAAUUUAAACUGAUCUGUGGUUUGGCAUACUUUAAUCAACGUUUUUCUUGUUUGGGGUGGGUGUGUAAGUGGUGGGCAAUAGGCACCAUAAUAAUAAGUUUGUUUUUGCUGAUACAGGAAAGAGGAGGAGUUGAUUUUAGUAAACUAGUGACUGAAACUUAUGAGUUAACAGAAGAAUGCUUGCAAAUAAACUAUUAUGGUGCUAAAAGAACAGCUGAAGCACUUAUCCCACUCCUCCAGUUAUCUGACUCACCGAAAAUUGUUAAUGUUUCUUCUGUCAUGGGGAUGUUAAACAACAUACCAAGCGAUUGGGCUAGAGGAGUUUUUACUGAUGCCGAAAACCUAACAGAAGAGAGAGUAGAUGAGGUACUGACUGAGCUUCUAAAAGAUUUCAAGGAGGGUUCACUUGAAAGUAAGGGCUGGCCUUCUUCUAUGCCUGCCUAUAUAGUCUCAAAAGCAGCACUGAACGCAUAUACAAGGAUUCUAGCAAAGAAGUACCCCACUUUUCGUAUCAAUUCAGUCUGCCCUGGCUUUGUCAAAACAGAUAUAAACUACAAUGUCGGUGUCCUACCUGUCGAAGAAGGGGCUGCAAGGGUUAUGAAGUUAGCAUUGCUGCCCAAUGAUGGGCCUUCUGGUUCCUUCUUUGUUCAGUAUGAAGUGUCAGAUCUUUGAUUGAAGAUGAUCCAUUUAUGCAAUUUUAAUACAUAUCACUUGUUGGGCAGCAUCUUGAACUUUGAUGUAAUUUAAGUAUAUUUGGAACCAGCAGCAGAUCCUUUUUAAGUUCUUUCUACAUUCAAUAUGACUCGAGGACGACAUAAAAUAGUCCUGUAUGAUUGCAUCUCUGUGAAAUUAUUUUCCACAUCUUGAGUUGAUUGAAGGAUCUAAUACAUUGCUUGUUUACAUUUCUACUUAUCAACCGGCUCUUGAACCCAUAUUAUCGUUUACAUUAUUAUUCAACCAGAAAUUCUAUGUGAUUGAUAUCCCUCCUUUAAUCGAUACUAUCAAUAACAUUUUAGUAUAUUUUGUUAUAGAUAUGUUGGCAACAAUUAUAUUAAUCCUUUAUCGACAAUCUGUCAUUAAUUAAGAAAUAACAUAGGUAUUAAUUAAGAAAUAACAUAGGUAUAGAGAAGAAUUGAUUAUCCAACAAUCCGUCAAUCUGUCAAUCCAUCAAUAUUAUUGUAUUCAAUUGUUGAAUAAAGAAAAAUGACAAUUGGCAUGUUCAAUGCAAAACUACUUACGACUUUGCAUGUUACGACUUUUUUGCCUAUAUACUCCAACGGUGGCUGAGCCCCUUUUAGGGGCCCCACUGGGGAAGCCCUUGUGAACAUGUUGUUGAAAGGUCUCUCUGGUCUGUCAACGUGUGCACUUGCGUCACUACCUUCAUACUUUUCCUUAAUACUCCAAGCAAAUGUUGUUCCAUCUUUCCCAUUCAAUGACUUCUAGAAAACAUUACAGGCAAGCAUUCUUUCUCCAGUAUAGGAACAAACGGCUUUUCAAGAACAUUUUACUAUAAAACAAAAGAAGCCUCCUUCUGUUUAGUCUCACUUCUCACAGACCGUCCAAUUAUCGAAUCAUCAAUGGCAGAAGCAACAAGGAGGUAGCACUUUAGAGUCCUUUAUGCUUUGGUUCCUUGUCACAUCUCCAUUCCCUCUCAUUGUUUCUGCUUAUCAUUUUUGUGUUACGAAUUUGGUGUUUUUGUUUUUCCAGGUAUGCAGUUGUUACUGGGGCAAACAAAGGCAUAGGAUUGGAAACUGUGAGGCAAUUGGCCUCAAAUGGAUUCACUGUAGUCUUAACUGCCAGAGAUGAGAAAAGGGGUCUUGAAGCUGCUGAGAAACUCAAAGAGUCUGGCCUCUCAGGUCAAGUGGUUUUUCAUCAACUUGAUGUGGCUGACCCUGCUACUGUUGCUUCCUUGGCAGAGUUCAUCAAAACCCAGUUUGGGAAACUCGAUAUCUUGGUAUGUGUAUGAUCAUAGCUGCAGGUUUCUUGAAAAAGUUUUGGUCUUUUGAAAUAAUUAGAAGUCUCAGGCUUACACAAUAUCCACACAGGUGAAGGUUACAUUAGAGACUGUAAAAUUGAUCAUAUCAUGCUUGCUUAUUGUGUCCACUUCCAGUUGUGGGAGAUUUUACUUUCAAGUCUAACUAUAAGAUAUGAACCCUCUGUACAAUUUACAAGUACCCUAGAAAGAUCAGUGGCUGGAGUUAAGGGAUUUGGCAAUGCCUUGAUGGUUGGUUAUAGAACCAUAUAGAUUAUCUUAGUAACCCGAGGAUGUACCAACUUCUUUUAAUUGCAUUUUCUACAAUUUUCUUUUCUUUGCUAAAUUAAAAUAGGUAGUGAGACAGUGGUUUCUGCACAGGUGAACAAUGCAGGGAUUGGUGGAGCCAUAGGAGAUGCUGAUGCCUUUACAGCUUUAGUGAAGUCUUUCGACAUGGUAAGUCUUUCGAAUUAAUUUUUUCAAUAGCUAUCAAAACCUAAAAGUUUCAAUGUAUGGCUUGAAAAUUUUUCAUUGUGAUGUUCAUGUCAAACUUUGAUCAACAUUUUUCUUGUUUGUGGUGGCUGUGGGCUAUAGGACCAUAACAAUAAGUUCGUUCUUACCGAUACAGGGGAGAGGAGAAAUUGGUAGUAAACUAAUGACUGAAACUUAUGAGUUAACAGAAGAAUGCUUGCAAAUAAACUAUUAUGGUGCUAAAAGAACAGCUGAAGCACUUAUCCCACUCCUCCAGUUAUCUGACUCACCGAGAAUUGUUAACGUUUCGUCUUUCCUGGGGAAGUUAAUGCAUAUACCAAGCGAUUGGGCUAGAGGAGUUUUUACUGAUGCUGAAAACCUAACAGAAGAGAGAGUAGAUGAGGUACUGACCGAGCUUCUAAAAGAUUUCAAGGAGGGUUCACUUGAAAGUAAGGGCUGGCCUUCUCCUUCGUCUGCCUAUGUAGUCUCGAAAGCUGCACUGAACGCAUAUACAAGGAUUCUAGCAAAGAAGUACCCCACUUUUCGUAUCAAUUCGUUAUGCCCUGGCUUUGUCAAAACAGAUAUAAACUACAAUGCCGGUGUCCUACCUGUCAAAGAUGGGGCUGCAAGGGUUAUGAAGUUAGCAUUGCUGCCCAAUGAUGGCCCUUCUGGCUCCUUCUUUGUUCACUAUGAAGUGUCAGAUUUUUAAUUGAAGAUGAUUGUUGUGAAAUUUAUUGCAAGCGCACAAUUCGCACAAGUAAUACAGUGAUGAGUGAAGUGUCGUUCCCACGAAGAGUGAUUUAAUUUACUAAGUACCGAUUGUGAGAAAAAUAAAAGCAAGCGUAGAGAAAUAAAGUAGUGAGAUUCAAGUUAUGAGAGCACUAGAGCUUCCGAUUUCACCAUAGCCAAUUUUACCCAAUUCCCUUAGCAUGUUAAUCCUAAUUAUUCUCUAUGUAGACAGUUGAUUUUCCCUACUUUAUUCGAUACUCCAUCCCUGGUUAUAUCAAAAGUAUUCUUAUUACCAACCCACUCUAUCCCUAGUAAUGGAAUUAAGAUAAUAAGAACCCAUUAAAUUCCUUGGAAACCCUACAAAACAACCACAUAAGUCACGACAAACAUCCAUGUCUAAUCAUGUAACUCAUGGCAUCUAUUACAAGAAGCAACCCCAAAUUGGAUAUCCCUGUCGUCAAUUUAGCAUCAAAACAAUUAAAUGUUGGCCAAACAUUCAAAGCAUUAAGCAUGGUACUCAACAUGGAAAAAUACUUGGAAUUAACAUUGACUAAAGUAAUUGAGUAUUCAUGGCUAGGCUACAUCGUAGCACUGGUAAGAAGAAAUUAGUUCAUGAAAACUUUAAUAAAAACCAUGAUAAAUAGUAUCAUAGGAAAGAAAAAAACCAAUUGAAGAUUUGAUCUCUGCACGACACCAACUCUAGCUCCAGGUCGUCUUCUUUGUCUCUCUAAAACUCUCUCUCCUUUGAGUGUUUCGGCUAUAAGUAUGAAUGUGUAGGAAUUUGUGAGGCUAGAUGAUGGAGGAUGGUGGGUAAUGGAUUCUUUGAACAAUGACCUAAACUCCCUAUUUAUAAAACUCUUAGGAAUCCUACCUAAUGAAUAAUUACAAUUGUUAUAAAAAUAGGAUUCCUUCUAAUAUAAGGUCUUCUUUAUUCCUCCUUGUUUGACUUGAUAAGACUUGAACCAUCUUGAACUAAGAAAUUUGACAACAUUCCUUGCAACAAAAGGAAUGACUUGGCUUCUUUUUAAUUGAUCUCCAAUCUUCAUCUUCUUGCCUUUUUUUAGCACACUUUCUCCUAUUUCAUAAUUCCUUCACAAAUCUCACAAAACCAAUUAAAAACAACUAAUUUAAUCCAAGAAAUUAAUAAAUAAAUAAGCAAAUGAGGCAUAAAAUAUAUAUAUAUAAAAUAUAGACUUAUCAAUGAUCCAUUUAUGCAAAUUAAAUACAUGUAAUGUAUUUGGCAGGAUCUUUAACUUUUAAUGUAACAAAGUAUAUUUGUGACAGGACCCGCCCCGAAUUUUCCGAAAUUCUAGAUGAAUCCUGUGGAAUUCCCGACAUCACCCCGAUGCCGAGCCCACUUACUAAGGACCGGGACUUUCUGCCGAAAUUUCAGCAGAGUCUCCCUUGUAAAUUGAUCAUUCCCCAAAUUUUUUAACCUGUAUAAAACACAUUUGAUAUCCACAACUGGCAGCAUGCACAAGAUAAUUUCAUGCAAAUCACAUAAUCGGCCUCCGGCCUUCAAAUAAUUCGAAACUAAACCACCAACAAACUCUAAACACAAUUAUGAACGCCAAAUGCGAUUUCCAUCAUCUAAAUUCCCAAAUAUUGAACGUACAAAAUUAAACCUCCUAACAAGACUACAUCUCAUUUUCACCUAAAUUUCAGGACCAACAAGAAAGUCCAAACCAAUCUUCAUCACACAACAUGAGUAAAGUUUAGCCCGCGGCUGUACCUAGGCACUACCCUAGGCUGCCUACGUACCCUUACUAAGGGAUCAAGCCACACGUAGUUCUUUCCAUACAAAAUUUCCAAAUCCAUCAACAUGCAAUCAAUUCUAGAAAUCCCCGCCCGAAAAUCCUACGCCACGUGUGACUUAACCAUCAUGUCAUCUCCCCAUACGCCGGAAAUUCCAACGCCACGUAUGGGAUUUGUCUUAACGUCGGAAAAUCCUACGACAAGCGAGACCUAACAAUCACAUAAUCUCCCCAUAUGCCGGAAAUUCCAACGCCACAUAUGGGGUCUGUUAGCACGCCGGAUAACCUAUGCCACGUGUGACCUAACAAUCAUAGCAUCUCCCCAUACGCCAGAAAUUCCAACGCCAUGUAUGGGGUCUGUCCUCACGCCGGAUAACCUACGCCACGUGGGACCUAACAAUCACAUAAUCUCCUCAUAUGCCGAAAAUUACAACGCCACAUAUGGGGUCUGUCAGCAUGCCGGAUAACCUACGCCACGUGUGACCUAACAAUCAUAGCAUCUCCUCAUACGCGCGGAAAUUCCAACGCCACAUAUGGGGUUUGUCCUUACGCUGGAUAACCUACGUCACGUGGGACCUAACAAUCACAGGGUAAUACUUAGGGUAGUGUGUAUAGCACUUCAAACUGACAUACUCUCAAUUAUCUAAACUAAUACUAGAGGUAUUCCCACUUUAGUGAUACCAGUCUAUAGUAGACUGCAACGUAAUUUAAUCAGGAAAGUAAUAUUAUUUUUAGACCAAUGAUCAUGCACAUAAACAUAAAUUUCAUAAUUUCAAUUAUUAAAACAAUAUCUAAGAGUUUCCUACAAUAAUAAUAAACACUCUAAAAAAUCUCAACCUAGUCAACAUAGCUCAACAACGCUCAAGACCUGUCACUAGGGUCAUUAUAAUCCUUCUAGGAAGGUAAAACUACCUCCGAAGACUCACGGUCAACCAAGGGUCAAACUACCCAAACUUGGUCAAAUGGGCCCACGGGGCCCAUGACCUCCAAAUUCCGAUCCUAAAGUUCCUAUGUGUUCUACAAGGCUUAUGACACAUGUUCUGCAAUCUGGACCAAACUUGCAGAACGUCCGGGGUUCCGAUUCACACAUAAACUUUAAGUUAUUAAAUCGGAACAUCCGGGGCUCCGAUUCACGAUCCAUGAAUUCCUACACGAUCCUAGAAAUUCCUAGGUUAACACAUAUCAAAUUCGAGACCAUCCAAAGGUCCAAACCUAUCGAGCCCGGAUAACACGCAAUAGGCGAUAUCCGUUCGAGACUCAAACGGUAUCCAAAUUGAAAUCCGAGCACACCUACGCACUCGUGAGGACCGGGAGAUUACAUCGGGAUAUAGUGCCCUUUUUCUACAGUGCCCACUCGCCGCCGCACGCGCCGGCAGCGCGUGGGUGCCCAAAGCGAUUACGCAUCGCUGAAAAAUCCCAAAACCACGGCUCCAAACUCCUACCCUAGGUAUAUUUGGAACCACUUUUGUUCUGGACCUACCCCAAAAACUGACCGGAAGUGGCCGGAAUCGCGAUCCCAAAAUCGGCCGAACCCUAAAUCCAAAAUCGAACGACUUAGGCUAAAAAUAAAUGUAAUCCUGCCCAACCAUCAGCUAGAGCAUGGAACAUAGGUAGAAAUCCAUGCCUUACUCGUCAAAUUUGGAGGAAAAAUGAGGGAGAACUAACGGUUUGAAAAUCUGUGAAAACCGACUCGUUUUCUGCAGAUUCCGGCGGCUAGAGUGGCUAACGGAGGCAGAGACCGGGUGGGAUGAGAAGAGGAGGAGGUGGCAGUUCGAACAAGACUGGUCUCGAGGCCGGUUGUUGACGAUGGCGACGGCAGUGGCUCUUGGAAGCCACGGCUGUGCAGAAAACAGAAGGUAGGAAGGUCACUACGCGCGCAGGGAGAGAGAGAGAGAGAGAGAGAGAGAGAGAGAGAGAGAGAGAGAGAGAGAGAGAGAGAGAGAGAGAGAGAGAGAGAAAAUCUGGUUUUUAAAAACCAACUUCAAAAUAUUUACAGUUUUGCCACUGAGCUUGUUUUGCUCGUAACUUCUUCGUUACAACUCCAAAUCGAGUCCACCACAUGUCUACGGACUGACCUCACCGUGCUCUACGCAACGGUAUAGUCGAAAUUCUCAAAUUCCUUCCCGGUCAAAAAGUAAACUUUAGACCUAAUAAAAUAUUUUAGGGGCAAAAUGGUAUUUUCUUUGAAUAAAUUAGUAUUUACUAAUUUAUUUAGGACCGGGUCGAUACAAUUUGGACCCAGCAACAGAUCCUUUUUAAGUUCUUUCUACAUUCAACAUGACUCGAGGAUGGCAUAGAUUCAAUAGUCCUGUAUGAUUGCAUCUCUAAUACAUUGCUUGUUUACAUUUCUACUUAUCAACUGACUCUUGAACCCAUAUUAUCAUUUACAUUAUUAUAAUCAGAAAUUCUAUGUGAUUGGUGUCCAUCCUUUGAUCAAAAUGAUCAAUAUCAUUUCGGUAUAUACUUCUUAUGGACAUGUUGACAACAAUUAUAUUAACAUGUUAUUGACAAUCCGUUAUUAAUUAAGAAAUGACAUAGGUGUACAGAAGAAUUGAACAUUCAAUUGUUUGUUUAAUAAAGAAAAAGACAACAUGAGUCUCUUUAACAAUCAUGUUUUUGGAUUGGAGCAGCCUAAUUCACCAAUGAUCAUGCACAUAAACAUAAAUUUCAUAAUUUGAACAACUUGGGCACUUGCGUCACUAUCCCCCUCUUUUUCCUUAAUACUCCGAAACAAAAAUCCGAGCAAAUGUUGGUCCAUCUGUCCCAUUCAAUGACUUCUAGAAAGCAUUAUAGGAACAAACGAAUCGAUUUGAAUAUAAUACUCAAAAUACAAAAGCUUCCCAACAACUUCACGUUAUAAAAGAAAAUAAAGAUCCUUCUGUUUAGUCUCAUUUCUUACCCCUGCUUUUUUCCGAGAAAGAUACAUUUAGGCUUUUAUUAUCUUCUUAUUCAUUCAUAUCGUGGAUGUAGACAUUGCUUGUCACGUGCGUGCGUACGUCUCCAUAAUUGACUUGAGGCUAGCUUUUCAAUUACUCAUGUAGAAUUUUUUUUUUUCAAGUGCCCAUAGAGAUAAGACUUCCAUAUAUGGGGCUCACCUCAAUUAAAAAUGUAGUUAGUAAAGUGGUACACGAUUGUUUUUAUAUAUGCUCAGAUAUUUAAUUUUACAAAAAUAAUGCAUCCAACUAACUCAACCAAAAAAGUUGCAUCCAAUUAAUUAUGUUCUUAGAAUAUCGAUACAAAAUAAAUUAGGUGUUAAAAAGAUAUUUAUUUUUGCAAAAAUAAUGCAUCCAACUAACUCAACUAAAAAAGUUGCAUCCAAUUAAUGAUGUUCUUGGAAUAUUGAUACAAAAUAAAUUAGGUGUUACAAAGAUAUUUAUUUUUGCAAAAAUAAUGCAUCCAACUAACUCAACCAAAAAAGUUGCAUCCAAUUAAUGUUGUUCUUGGAAUAUUGAUACAAAAUAAAUUAGGUGUUAAAAAAUAUUUAAUAUCUAAAUAUGAUCUAUUACGACUUAUCGUCACAAUCAUGGUAAUUAUUCAAAAGGUGUAACAUCCCUUAUACAAUUUAAUCGAUUUAAUCAAAUUUAAUUCUUUUGUGAAAUUUCAAUUUUGCCCUUGGGAGUAGGGGUACUUUGGUCACUUUAAGAAAAAAAAAACAUUUAUUGUAUGGUAUUACGUAAUGAUGUAAGUUUGUGUUAUUUUAUGUGAGGCCCCAAUUUAAGGUUAGCACAGGGCCCUCAAAAUCUCAAGACCGGCCCUGGGCCCCGUUGGGGAAGCCCUUGUGAACAUGUUGUUGAAAGGGCUCUCUGGUCUGUCAACGUGUGCAGUUGCGUCACUACCUUCAUCCUUUUCCUUAACACUCCAAGCAAAUGUUGUUCCGUCUUUCCCAUUCAAUGACUUCUAGAAAACAUUACAGGCAGGCACUCUUUUCUUUCUCCAGAAUAGGAACAAACGGCUUUUCAAGAACAUUUUACUAUAAAACAAAAGAAGCCUCCUUCUGUUUAGUCUCAUUUCUCACAGACCGUCCCAUAUCGAAUCAUCAAUAUGGCAGAAGCACCAAAGAGGUAGCACUUUAGAGUCCUUUAUGCUUUGGUUCCUUGUCACACCUCCAUUCCCUCUCAUUGUUUCUGCUUAUCAUUUUUGUGUCAUGAAUUUGGUGUUUUUGUUUUUUCCAGGUAUGCAGUUGUUACUGGGGCAAACAAAGGCAUAGGAUUGGAAACUGUGAGGCAAUUGGCCUCAAAUGGAUUCACUGUAGUCUUAACUGCCAGAGAUGAGAAAAGGGGUCUUGAAGCUGCUGAGAAACUCAAAGAGUCUGGCCUCUCAGGUCAAGUGGUUUUUCAUCAACUUGAUGUGGCUAACCCUGCUACUGUUGCUUCCUUGGCAGAGUUCAUCAAAACCCAGUUUGGGAAACUCGAUAUCUUGGUAUGUGGAAGAUUUUACUUUCAAAUCUAACUAUAUGAUAUGAACCCUCUGUACAAUUUACAGGUACCCUAGAAAGAUCAGUGGCUGGAGUUAAGGGAUUUGGCAAUGCCUUGAUGGUUGGUUAUAGAACCAAAUAGAUUAUCGAAGUAACCCGAGGAUCUACCAACUUUCUUUUAAUUGCAUUUUCUACAUUUUUCUUUUCUUUUCUAAAUUAAAAUAGAUAGUGAGACAGUUGGCUCUGCACAGGUGAACAAUGCAGGGAUUGGUGGAGCCAUAGGAGAUGCUGAUGGCUAUAUAGCUUUAGUAAAGUCUUUGGAAAUGGUAAGUCUUUCGAAUUAAUUUUUUCAAUAGCUAUCAAAACCUAAAAGGUUCAAUGUGUGGCUAUAAUGUGGAUUUGGGAGUGUGCUAUUUUGCCUCUGCGCCUAUCUGGAUUAGCUCCUUCUUGAUUGAUGAUAUGUUAGGGGUUGUUAGAACCCUUUAGUUUGUGCUGACAGUUUGUAGUCUGUUUGUUUUGGGGUUUGAUCCCCCACUAGUUCAUAAAAUAAAAAAAUAAAAAAAAAGCUUCAAUGUAUGUGCUAAUGUGAAAAUUUCAAUUGAUCUCUGGUUUGGCCAAAGAUCUGUUUCGCUUAAUGCUUUGCUGUUUUUAGUAGGGGAAAUGAUCUGAUUAAUUGAUUUAGGAUUUUUCCAAUAAGCUGCUACCUUUCUGGAUUUACUUAUCUCACCUGAUAAAUCUUUCUGCACUCUAUCCAUAAUUUUUUUUUUGAAGCCCUUUGCUAUAAAUAAAAUAAAUUAUGCACAUAAGUUGUCAUGCUUUCUUCCUCUCUAGCUUGAAAAUGUUUUAUUGUGAUGUGCCAAACUUUGAUCAACAUUUUUCUUGUUUGUGGUGGGUGUGGGCUAUAGAGACCAUAAUAAUAAGUCUGUUCUUACUGAUACAGGGGAGAGGAGAAGUUGGUAGUAAACUAUGGACUGAAACUUAUGAGUUAACAGAAGAAUGCUUGCAAAUAAACUAUUAUGGUGCUAAAAGAACAGCUGAAGCACUUAUCCCACUUCUCCAGUUAUCUGACUCACCGAGAAUUGUUAAUGUUUCGUCUUUCCUGGGGAAGUUAAUGCAUAUACCAAGCCAUUGUGCUAAAGGAGUUUUUACAGAUGCCGAAAACCUAACAGAAGAAAGAAUAGAUGAUGUACUGAGUGAGCUUCUAAAAGACUUCAAGGAGGGUUCACUUGAAAGUAAGGGCUGGCCUUCUUCUUUGUCUGCCUAUGUAGUCUCAAAAGCUGCACUGAACGCAUAUACAAGGAUUCUAGCAAAGAAGUACCCCACUUUUCGUAUCAAUUCGUUAUGCCCUGGCUCUGUCAAAACAGAUAUAACCUACAAUGCCGGUUUCCUACCUGUCGAAGAAGGGGCUGCAAGGGUUAUGAAGUUAGCAUUGCUGCCCAAUGAUGGCCCUUCUGGCUCCUUCUUUGUUCAGUAUGAAGUGUCAGAUUUUUAAUUGAAGAUGAUCCAUUUAU